rnacentral:ncRNA from 1 species
AAAGAGUUUUAUUCUUGCUAAAAUAUUUAUUGUGAGAAAGUGUUAUAUGCAUAUUAUUAAAUUUAUAAAUUCUAAAUGGAAUUAUUAUAAUAGGUUAUUUGCAGUAAUUAAUAUUAUUAAUUUAAGAAAUUUUGAAUUAGUUAUUUUCAUUAAAUAUUGAUUAAAUAUGUGCCAGCAAUCGCGGUUAAACAUAGAAUAUUAGUAAAUAUUAUUAGUUAUUUAGUUUUUAUAAUUUAUAUAAUUUAUUUUGAAUAUUUUUGGGUGAAAUUUAAUUUUUAAUAAGGAAUUAUAAUUUUUAUAUAAGAGGCUAUAAAAUCUAAUUAUUUAAACUAGGAUUAGAUACCCUAUUAUUUUGGACGUAAAUUUGUAACUUGAGUAGUAUUAGUUAUGGUCUUGAAACUUAAAGAAUUUGGCGGUAUCUUAGUCUAUUUAGAGGAAUCUGUCCCGUUAUCGAUAAUCCACGUUGGACCUUGCUUAAUUUAUUAGUAUGUAUACCGCCGUUUAUUUGAAAAUCUUGUUAGGGAUAAUUUUCUUAAUAUUUUAAUUUAUAAUAUUUCAGGUCAAGGUGCAGUUAAUAAUUAAGAGGAGAUGGAUUACAAUAUAUUUCUAUAUACGGAAUAUAAAUUGAAAUAAUUUUUAUGAAGGUGGAUUUAAUAGUAAUUUUGAUAAGAUUAUUAAGGUGAUUUUAGCUCUAGGAUGUGUACACAUCGCCCGUCACUCUCGUUAAUUAAGAUGAGAUAAGUCGUAACAAAGUAGGUGUACCGGAAGGUGUAGCUGGAAUGAU